rnacentral:lncRNA from 1 species
GAUUUUGGAGUCCCCAAGGAGAAUUUGAGGUCCCCGAGGAGCAUUUGGGCCCCCCAGAAAGAUUUGAGGCCGCCGAGGAGGAUUUUGAAGUCCCCAAGGAGGAUUUUGGUGCCGUUGAAGAGGAAUUGGGAGUCCCCGAGGAGGAUUUUGAGGCCGCCGAGGAGGAUUUUGGAGUCCCCGAGGAGGAUUUGGAGUCCCCGAGCAGGAUUUGGAGUCCCCAAGGAGGAUUUUGAGGUCCCCGAGGAGGAAUUUGAGGUCCCCGAGG